rnacentral:rRNA from 1 species
GACGAACGCUGGCGGCGUGCCUAAUACAUGCAAGUCGAGCGGAGUCAAGAAGAAGCUUGCUUCUUCUUUGACUUAGCGGCGGACGGGUGAGUAACACGUAGGCAACCUGCCCUUUAGCCUGGGAUAACUACCGGAAACGGUAGCUAAUACCGGAUACUUUCGAUGUCCGCAUGGAUGACGAACGAAAGACGGAGCAAUCUGUCACUGAAGGAUGGGCCUGCGGCGCAUUAGCUAGUUGGUGGGGUAACGGCUCACCAAGGCGACGAUGCGUAGCGGACCUGAGAGGGGGAUAGGCCACACGGGGACGGGGACCCGGCCCAGACUCCUACGGGAGGCAGCAGUAGGGAAUCUUCCGCAAUGGGCGAAAGCCUGACGGAGCAACGCCGCGUGAGUGAUGAAGGUUUUCGGAUCGUAAAGCUCUGUUGCCAGGGAAGAACGUUUUCUAGAGUAACUGCUAGGAAAGUGACGGUACCUGAGAAGAAAGCCCCGGCUAACUACGUGCCAGCCGCCGCCGUAA